rnacentral:rRNA from 1 species
UACGGAGGGUGCAAGCGUUAUCCGGAUUCACUGGGUUUAAAGGGUGCGUAGGUGGGCAGGUAAGUCAGUGGUGAAAUCUCCGGGCUUAACUCGGAAACUGCCGUUGAUACUAUCUGUCUUGAAUAUCGUGGAGGUUAGCGGAAUAUGUCAUGUAGCGGUGAAAUGCUUAGAUAUGACAUAGAACACCCAUUGCGAAGGCAGCUAACUACACGAUCAUUGACACUGAGGCACGAAAGCGUGGGGAUCAAACAGG